UAGGUCAUUGUAGACGAAACGUUCUCUCUCUUCCGUCUCGUUUAAACCCAAGUCCUCAGACAUAUCAAUCGUGAUUUAGAUCGAGAGAGACAGAUUGAUGAUGCUGUUUUAGUGUUUCACUGUUUUGAUUUUUGUCAGAGAAAAGAAGCUUAGUUUUCAUCCAAGAACAAGCCUGACACUUUGGACCCAUCUCUGUUACGUCCUAGAUGGCUAGAUCGAAAAGUUGAAUUCGGGGUUACCUGAUUUGGAAAGCAGGACCCAGAUAUUCAAAAUUCAUUUUAGAACUGUGAACUUGACAUUAUAGCACUGCGAACCUGUAAACUCUUAGCUCACCUUGGCCCAAAUUCCACUGGUAAGGGUUGCUGAGAUAAGGCGGCAGUCCUUUAUUUGAAGGGCCCCAAGACAACACCAAAAGUGAUUUCUGCCUUGUUGAUUCCGUUACCUUGAUCAGGUGGAGAUCCAGCGGUAGCAAACAUGUCCUGAAGACAACCACCAAAAGUUGGAACUUUUCUAGCAGUAGUAUCUCGUACUGCAGCUUUAUUUUAACCCCACCUUCCUCGAGUGUACACUGAGUUAACCCAUGAAUAUAUCGCAUCAAUUAUGCAUUUGGUAGUCUAUUCUCUCUGUUUGCUAUCUAAAAAGAACUUAAUAACAUGUACAGCUAAAAUUUGGUAACUCUGAUUCUUUGGUUUUGCUAGCACAACUUAGAUGUGGUGAAAUGUGAUCCAAGACACUUGCACUCUUAGUACUACCCUGUGCGACUCAAUUUGAAAUGGUAUCUGUGUGGUCUAGAUUCUUCUCUUCUCUUGUUUAUUUCAUAAUUUUGUGGCAGGUUUUGAUUUAAGGGUUUCGGCGAUCUGUCAUAUCUGAUGGGAUUCUUUUGGCUGUAAAUAAAAGUAUUUCAGCAAUUUUUUGCCUUGCUGAAUUCUUUACGGUUUUGAGCACAUUUAUAUAUUCGUAGGCUUGUAGUUUUGAUUCAGCUUUCGUAGGCUUGUAGUUUUGAUUCAGUUCUGAUUUCUUCACCAACGUUGCAGUUGAAUAAGUUAUCAAUAAAAUCUCUCUUUAGUAUAAAUGAAAAGCUUCACUGUGUAUAGCUAUAUGGUCGUGUCUGUGCUGUUACCUAUAUAUGAGUUUCGUAGGGUAUGCUUCAAACAGGUUUGAUUAUUAGCUGACUUUGUAGGAGGGGUAACCUAUCUCAUUUGAUUCUUUACUUCCAAUUCAGUCUUCGGCCGAAUCAGUUAUAUCUCUCAUUUGCAGGUUUCUCUCGAAUUUAAUAUCUAGACUCCGAUGCAACCUCCGUGCGACCAAAUGGACUUGGUGUCCAGGAAUUUGAGUUCACAGAUAAGGGAUCGUUUGUAACUCAGUUACAUUUCAGAAAAUAUAUAUAAUGGGAUUAACACAUUUCGGUCACAAAAUUUAUACCACUGUUAGCCAUUUCAUUGAACUGUGAACAGGUUCAAAUUUCAAAGAGAAAAAAAAUGAUACAUUUGAUAUAUGUGAAAUGCUAGUGGGAAUUUCAGAUUUGGUUUAUAUUUGAAAAGUCGGAACGAGGUUUCCUAGUGUCAUUUACGUUCUGGUCGAGUUUGCUAUCAGAAUCACUGAAACCAGUUGUGUUUUCUUCUGAUCUACAGGUCAUUGAGUUGCCAAUUAAGCAUCCUGAGCUUUUUUGAGAGUCUCGGAAUAGCUCAACCAAAGGGUAGUGGCUCAUCAUACCAACUGCACCUUCAUUAGAGUUUCUGGUUCUGAGCUGGUUCAGAAAUACAUGGAGAAGGAUCUAGAAUGGUCAGAGAGCUUUUCGUUAUGGCUAGUUACGUCAUCAUUUUUGUGGAAAGCUUUCGGUUACCUGUGUUUUGUACACUUCAAUUUGUAGCCGAUUGUUUGAGAUGAUUAAAUGGAAAUGCUAAUUUUUGGUUUUGGUAUACCUUCUA